UCCCUAUCCUCCUCGCCUUCGCCUCAGAUUCCUGCCCGUCCCUCUAUAUCCACCCUCCCCGCAACACCAAGCACCGCAGAAGCAAACCCUAGCCGCGCUUCCCCCUCCAGAUCCCGGCGGUCUCCCCCGCCCCAUGGCGGCCCUCGCCCCGACGAGCUCCAGCCUCCCCGCCCGCCGCCUCUAGCUCCGGAUCGCCCGCGCACGCAAGGCCAGCCAGCCAGCCAGCCAGCCAUGGAGCCCGCCGAGGACGCCGCCGCCGCCGCCGCGCCGGACUCGUGGGAGACGGCCGACAUCGACGGGCCCAUGAGCCGGCUCAUCCUCACCGCGCGCCGCGUGUCCUCGUCGCCCGACCUGGCCGAGGAGCAGCAGGACCCGCCCCCGGCGCCGCCGCAGACGCAGGGCCCCGCCCCCGCGGGCGACGAUUCGGUCGCCCAGGUCGACCAGUUCCUCCGGGAGGCCCUCGAGAAGCCGCGGGAGAGGCUCUCUGUGCUAAGAAUGGAGCAAGAUAUUUUGAAGUUCAUCCGUGACCCCAGACGGACAGAGUUUGAAUUCACGGGCCUCCCAACUUCAUAUCUGCGUCUUGCUGCACACCGCCUGGCACAACAUUACUUCCUCCAGUCCCAUGCUAUACCAGACAACAGUUUGCCUGAUGGAACUGGUUCUCGUAUUAUUCUCUGUAAGACGUCAUCUGAGUGCCGACUGCCUGCUGUGCGACUUGCUGAUAUUCCAGUUAACCUGCCACAAGAAGAGAGCAGUACUUUGGCCAAAGUAGCAAUCAAGCAGAGGCCUCAAAAAAAUUUCCAUAGCACUAAUAGCUCAAGUCCUCACUCUUCUAGAGACAACCUCCAGAAAAGUGUUGAAGAAAGAAAAGAGGAAUACAACAGGGCACGUGCACGGAUAUUUAACAACAGCAGUAGCGGUAAUGCUGCUGAUGGGAGACCUGUUGAGGAAGUGACUUUGCCCAAUACUCUGCAUAGGUCCUCUUCCUUGGAGUUGAACUCAAGCAAUAGAAUGGGCCAAGGGGCUGAAAUUGCUACAAUUACUCUUGAAAGGAGUUUGACUACCACUUCAGCCAGUAGCAGGUCAAAUCGAAGCAAGAUCGAGAAGGAGCCUGGAGUCAAUAGAAGCAGGCAAAAUAACAGGGUUGCAAUUUUCAGGGACCGUGAGUCAGAGCGAAAAGAUCCUGAUUAUGAUAGGAGUUAUGACAGGUACAUGCAAAGAUUUGACCCUGGAUUUGGAUUUAAUGGAGGCCCAUACACCAUUCAACCCCUGUAUGCCCCUGCUGUAAACUACAACACUGAAUUCCCCCAACUUGGCUCAGCACACAGAUCUCCUGUUGCUGUUGAACAGCAACCUCGUCCAAUAGCUCAGCACAUGCCUGGGUCAUGGUCAGCAGGACAAGCACCUAAUGCAAUUGGCUAUGGACCUCCAGAUGGAGUCAUGGCACCUUACAGUCCUGGUCACACAGGUGCUCCUGUGAGAUCAUCUGUUUUCAUGCAUGCUUCGCAGCAAUAUGCCAUACCUUCACGCCCUGGAAUGCCAUUUGUACAUCCACCGGAAUCAAUGGGACCAUUUGCACAGACUCACCAACAACAACCAGAAGCUAGUUUGCGCUUUGCCCGGCCCCGGUGAGGGGCCCGGGCAUGCCUGCACCUGCCAGCACGCGCUCAACAUGUCAAAUUGGAUGAUGCAUCCAAUUUAAUUGUUGCUGGUAGACUGCAGGCAUAGAAUGACCGAGAAGCGCUGGGCAGAGGCAUUCAUCCAUUCAAUCAUGCCAGCUUCUGCGCUCUUGGUUUUUUUGCUCCCUGCAUAUUGAGAUGCAGGAGGGGCAUCAUAUACUCCAUUGAAAGGUACUUGAGGUUCAUUGGACUGACUUCUACGUCCAAUGCGAAAAGAUGUGAAAAGAAGCCGAGAAGUGAAGGGCAGGACCAGUCACCUCUGUGGUCUUGCCAGCUCAAUUGCUGUUGCUUGCUCCUCGCAGAUUAAGAUGCUGGAGGUUUAUUGGACAGAUCCUUAAAGUCCAAUGCACAAUUCUCAGUGUGGUUGCAUGCUGCUCUAAGAUUGAGAUGUUGGAUGGGCACAUCUUGCUACUUACUCCUUUGAUGGGCCCUUGACUGAUGAUGAUGAAAAAAAGAUUGGGAUCGUGGGUGGUAUGUGGGUGCUGGACCAGAGAAGAGUUUGGGGUGAUCCAGUAUGUUAACAGGCAAUGGGGGUGCGGGUUACUCCUUCGAUGGGCCCUUGACUGAUGAUGAUGAAAAAAAGAUUGAGUUCAUGGGUGGUAUGUGGAUGCUGGACCAGAGAAGAGUUUGGGGUGAUCCAGUAUGUUAACAGGCAAUGGGGGUGCGGUUUCUGAUGGGCUGGAAGGAAAGAUAAGGGGCACUAGCUGUGUUGGUGGCUUUGGAUGCGGCACUCUUGAAGAUGAGCUAGAGUGAAGACAAGGUUCUUCCUUGCCUAGUGCAGCCCUGGCUCGAUCGGGACUGGGAAGUUGCUGCCGUGGCUGUUGUUUUAAGAUGAGGUUUGAGUCAGUGAGUGUUGUGUGUACAUGAAUGUGCGUUAGCUGAGUGGCUAAGAAUAUUUACUGUACUAUGUGAAGUAACUACUCAAGGUGGUAAACUAAGAUGACUAUAAAUCAUUAAGCUAUGGCGAUUAGUGUUUAAUAGUUCCACAAUGGGGUAAACUAAGGUGGUGCAGACGUGCCGUUACUGGAUGUAUGCUUUGCUUAUCUUUCCGUGCGAUGUAAAUGACGACUGUGAGCCAGUGACAAUACACUGUACAACAACUAUGUCACU